rnacentral:rRNA from 1 species
UACAGAGGGUGCAAGCGUUGUUCGGAAUUAUUGGGCGUAAAGGGCGCGUAGGCGGUGCCACAAGUCACCUGUGAAAUCUCCGGGCUUAACUCGGAGCCUGCAGGCGAAACUGUGGUGCUGGAGUGUGGGAGAGGUGCGUGGAAUUCCCGGUGUAGCGGUGAAAUGCGUAGAUAUCAGGAAGAACACCCGUGGCUAAGGCGGCUCUCUAGUACGGUACUGACGCUGAGACGCGAAAGCGUGGGGAGCGAACAGG